rnacentral:rRNA from 1 species
UGGGGAAUAUUGCACAAUGGGCGCAAGCCUGAUGCAGCCAUGCCGCGUGUGUGAAGAAGGCCUUCGGGUUGUAAAGCACUUUCAGCGAGGAGGAAGGUGGUGAGCUUAAUACGCUCAUCAAUUGACGUUACUCGCAGAAGAAGCACCGGCUAACUCCGUGCCAGCAGCCGCGGUAAUACGGAGGGUGCAAGCGUUAAUCGGAAUUACUGGGCGUAAAGCGCACGCAGGCGGUUUGUUAAGUCAGAUGUGAAAUCCCCGGGCUCAACCUGGGAACUGCAUUUGAAACUGGCGAGCUAGAGUCUCGUAGAGGGGGGCUAGAAUUCCAGGUGUAGCGGUGAAAUGCGUAGAGAUCUGGAGGAAUACCGGUGGCGAAGGCGGCCCCCCUGGANGAAGACUGACGCUCAGGUGCGAAA